GUGUCUCACACCGAGCCUGUUUAUUUCUCACGCAACUAAGAACCUAACAUAUCCCGUGACAACUUGGGAGCUGGAGGCUAGGGGAAGGUUCUGUAUCAACGUGGACUUGGAAUACUCUGACCUCUGACUGUUCGCACAAAUGUCCUUCAGUGAUUCCUGAAAUCUGGUUGGUUUGAGACAGUUGUCUUUCGUGGUUUUGUUUGUUUGUUUUUUGUUAUUGUUUUUAUUUAUUUUUUUUUUGGUUGUUUUGCCCUGAAGUUUCAAAUCAACGUGCAGGGCCGGACUCUUUCUUUUUAGGCCGAGGGGUUGCCCACACAAAGGACCAAAAGGCUCCAUCACUGUGUGACAGACAGAGCAAUGAAGUGAACUCCCCGAGUCGUUCUUCUGUCUUUAAGGUGGAGAAGAGAAUGCUGGGGGCUUCAGUUGUGGGGUGGGGUGGGGUGCACUAUGCCCUGCCAGCAAGAUCUUGCUGUGCCUGUAGAAGAAGUCACCCUAGUGACCCCCUUGGUCUCAGCUAGUUCACUGAACAACUAGGAGUUGCAUCUUAGAUCGUUGGCUCCUGUCAAAUGUUUCCCAUGAAACUGGAAGAACAUGCGUGUGUUUUUUAAAAGGUGAGCUCUAGAUGUGGGCCACAGCUAACAGCACAAGCAAAAGUGAAGUUUAAGGGGUGUGAACUACGGCCUGGGCGUGAGACACAACUCCAAAUCUGGCUGUUUUGAAGACAAUUUUUAUCCCCCUGCCUCACUGAAGACAAGGUCAACAUGGAACUUCUUCACGUGGACUUUCGUGCCAGCACAUGGUGUUGCACAAUAAGGAAUUCUAUGUGCGCUUCAGUAAGGAUGUGCCUGCCCCUCAGGAGGCAGUUUGGAACCUACCCUUCUGACACACUUCUUCAUCCCCUUCUCUCACAGGGCUUCCUGGUGACCUUUUCUCCUCUACCUCUCUCUUUCUCAGCAUCUCUAUUGGUGAAUCCUUCAUGCAAAGGCAAGGUCCGUGCUAGUUCUCACUGAGGUGUGCCUUGCCCCUGUUUUUCGAGCACUUUCUAGACUACUAACACUAAUUUUGUACUUAGCUAUCGUCCUGAAAACUUUAAAUGCCAAUUUGCCACAACCUGAAAUUACUUCGGGAGGAGACCCCGAAUAAGACUCCUGAGACAUUGUAUACAUGAGAUUGGCCUGUGGGCCUGUUUGUUGGGGAGGGGGUCAUCUUAUGUCUGUGGGAGAG
ensembl:lncRNA